rnacentral:rRNA from 1 species
CCUACGGGGGGCUGCAGUGAGGAAUAUUGGUCAAUGGGCGCGAGCCUGAACCAGCCAAGUCGCGUGAAGGAUGACUGCCCUACGGGUUGUAAACCUCUUUUGUCAGGGAAUAAAGUGAGGCACGUGUGCCUUUUUGUAUGUACCUUAUGAAUAAGCAUCGGCUAACUCCGUGCCCGCAGCCGCGGUAAUACGGAGGAUCCGAGCGUUAUCCGGAUUUAUUGGGUUUAAAGGGAGCGGAGGUGGGUUGUUAAGUCAGUUGUGAAAGCGUGGGGGUCAACCGUACAAGUGCAGUUGAAACUGGCAGGCUGGAGUACAGUAGAGGUAGGCGGAAUUAGUGGUGUAGCGGUGAAAUGCGUAGAUAUUACGAAGAACUCCGAUUGCGAAGGCAGCUUACUGGACGGCAACUGACACUGAGGCUCGAAAGUGUGGGGAGCAAACAGGAUUAGAUACCCGUGUAGUC